CUUCAAGUGAUCCGCCUGCCUCUGCCUCCUAGAGUGCUGGGAUUACAGACGUGGACCACUGCACCCAGCCCUGAUAGGGAUAACUUGACAGAAUCAAAACCUGGCAACACGAGAAGUCAAAAAGGAACAACGGGAUGGUGAAGGCAAAAUGGUGACUCAAAAUUCCAGACAAGAGAUUGCGGAGGGCAAAGGUCAAGUUGGGAAGAUGGAGAAGCACAACAUCAGGAGUAUCUGACAACAGUUAAGAAGCAGAUUUUAGGCUCACCAAGAAACAGACAUAGAAUCCUGUUAGAAAUUAAAAGUGGAUUGGAGAAGAAACUGAUGCUGAGGCUGAAACAAGGCUUCUCACCUCUCUCCUACAAAUUGAAUAUACCCAUGUAAGAAGAGAAGCAGAGAGAAAGGGGGUUGCCCAGUGCCUAUAUUAAGGAAAAACAGAACUUAAGCUCAAUCAAUCAGAAGCAGCCAACAAACUUAUAAUUCUACAACUAGGGACUUUCUAGUGGGACAGACCAGGUAAGUGAUUCCAUCUAGCCUGGGCAGGAGUGAUGGAUGGAGCCCAGAGAGUCCAAUUAGGGUGUCUUCCAGAGAAGAAGGAGGAAGUAUUCUCUUCAAACAAUGUCAGCUGAAACCUUCAACAAUGAGGUUGAAAGGAUCAUUUUGUGUCUAGUUGAAUGAAGCAACUGAAGAUACCAUAACAGAUGGAGGAAGCCAGUGGGAAUUUUAGGCUGAAUGACAUCCACAGACCUAUUUAAAAUCUCUGUAUUUUAAAGAGUUAUUCUGCUCCAUUGCUCCCCAGAGGAUGCGGGAAAGUCAAGAACAUUCUGAAAGCUAUGAUUUGAUGAGGUUCCAGGUUUCUUAUCUUUAAAGUUAUUUAUUUUGCAGUAGCCCAACCCUUGAGAGAAACUCAUGGUCCUGCAGUAUGAUUGACAACUCUUUUUUUUUCUCCCUCUACCAGCACCUACUACACUGAUGAUUAAAUAAAAAUCUUCAAAAAAUAUUGUUUAAAUAAGUGAAUGAAUGCAACCCUUCUAAGGUCUUGAUUUCCUACCUUCACCAUCUUGUUUCAAUAGUUAACAAUACGUUCCUUCUAAAUGAUAUCUGUCAGACUACUCUUAAAGGAUCCCACUCUUCAGUUCAUAGACAUUUAGAUUCAUCUUACUAUCUUACUUUUCUUGAUUAGUUGCUCUUGAGGAAAAAAGAAGGCAAAGUAACAUAAGUAUCCAAUGCAUAGCAUAUAGCCAGAGGUGAUGAUGUAACUGAAAACUGACAAUAAUUCUUGUAAUAAAGAGGCAUCUGCUAAUCUGUUGCUAAUUUUUAUUUGAAAAUUGUUGUUGUUGCUUAGGCCUUAACAAGGUCAGGAAAAUACAGAAGCUCCUUUAAAAAGGGAAAAUGAAACAAAAAAGUAAGUUUCAUAUUUUCCUUGGUCUCUUGCUUAAGAAGGUUACUGUAGGAAAUGUAAAUAGACCACAGGAAGCUUUAGAAACUCAGCUCUUUGAUUGAAAAAAUGGAAAUUCUGUUUUUUACAGAAAUAAAGUAAUUCAAUGAAAAUACAAAAUACAGUUGGUUAUCAUUUAAAAAGGGUUUGUUUUUUGGAUUAUGGUUUCUUUGAUAUAGUACAACUCUGGCACAGACCAUU
rnacentral:lncRNA from 10 species